rnacentral:rRNA from 1 species
GAUGAACGCUAGCUACAGGCUUAACACAUGCAAGUCGAGGGGAAACGGCAUUGAGUGCUUGCACUCUUUGGACGUCGACCGGCGCACGGGUGAGUAACGCGUAUCCAACCUUCCCAUUACUGUGGGAUAACCUGCCGAAGGCAGACUAAUACCGCAUAGUCUUCGAUGACGGCAUCAGAUUUGAAGUAAAGAUUUAUCGGUAAUGGAUGGGGAUGCGUCUGAUUAGCUUGUUGGCGGGGUAACGGCCCACCAAGGCUACGAUCAGUAGGGGUUCUGAGAGGAAGGUCCCCCACAUUGGAACUGAGACACGGUCCAAACUCCUACGGGAGGCAGCAGUGAGGAAUAUUGGUCAAUGGACGGAAGUCUGAACCAGCCAAGUAGCGUGCAGGAUGACGGCCCUAUGGGUUGUAAACUGCUUUUGUAUGGGGAUAAAGUUAGGGACGGGUCCCUAUUUGCAGGUACCGUACGAAUAAGGACCGGCUAAUUCCGUG